rnacentral:rRNA from 1 species
UAUUCGUCAAUGGAGGAAACUCUGAACGAGCAAUGCCGCGUGAACGAAGAAGGCCCUAUGGGUUGUAAAGUUCUGUUGUUUGGAACGAAUAACUAGAUGAGGAAAUGCUUCUAGUCUGACGGUACCAUCCAAGAAAGCCACGGCUAACUACGUGCCAGCAGCCGCGGUAAUAGGUAGGUGGCGAGCGUUAUCCGGAUUUAUUGGGCGUAAAGCGUGCGCAGGCGGUUUGUUAAGUCUAAAAUUAAAGUCCGAAGCUUAACUUCGGUUCGUUUUAGAAACUGGCAGACUUGAGUAUGGUAGAGGCAAAUGGAAUUUCUAGUGUAGCGGUAGAAUGCGUAGAUAUUAGAAGGAGCACCAGUGGCGAAGGCGGUUUGCUGGGCCAUUACUGACGCUCAUGCACGAAAGCGUGGGGAGCAAAUAGG